AGUGAACGCUGGCGGUAGGCCUAACACAUGCAAGUCGAACGGCAGCACAGUAAGCGCUUGCUCUUAAGGGUGGCGAGUGGCGGACGGGUGAGGCAUACAUCGGAAUCUACUUUUUCGUGGGGGAUAACGUAGGGAAACUUCCGCUAAUACCGCAUACGACCUACGGGAGAAAGCAGGGGAUCUUCGGACCUUGCGCGACUGAAUGAGACGAUGUCGGAUUAGCUAGUUGGCGGGGUAAAGGCCCACCAAGGCGACGAUACGUAGCUGGUCUGAGAGGAUGAUCAGCCACACUGGAACUGAGACACGGUCCAGACUCCUACGGGAGGCAGCAGUAGGGAAUAUUGGACAAUGGGCGCAAGCCUGAUCCAGCCAUACCGCGUGAGUGAUGAAGGCCUUCGGGUUGUAAAGCCCUGUUGUUAGGAAAGAAAAGCAGCAGGUUAAUACCCCGCUGUUCUGACGGUACCCAAAGAGUAAGCACCGGCUAACUUCGUG
rnacentral:rRNA from 1 species